GCCUCCUGAAUAGUCAGGGAUACAGUUUCCACCACGCCCAGGAGAAUAUAAGAAAACAUGGAUAUUCUUCAUCGGUUGGUUCGGUGGCCCCUUGUGAAAGAGAGGCGUGCCCCAGCAUGCUGUGGAAAAGACAGAUGACCCUGUUCUAGACCUCUGCUUCAGAAAAUCAAGCUCCACUCAGGUGGCCACUGCUUCUUCCAACCCUGGAAAUAAACAUCUUUUGCAUGUAAAAGAAUGUGCAUGGCCUCUCCAGGCAGGAGACUGAUUCUCAUCUUGCACCGAAUCUAGCUCCCCCUUCGAUCUUGUCAGGGAUCCUGCCAAGACAUGGAACCAGAAAAGAAAGAAAACACAAGAACAGCCAGGUCGAGCUGCAGCGCUGGUUAGACUCAUGGCCCAUGUGGAGCUGCAUCGCUGGUUGGAUUUAUGGCAGUUUCAGUUCAGGGUGGGGGCUCCUCUCUGGUCCGCUUUUCAUUUGUGUGAGUUGAGUUCCUCCUAAUUUCUGUUUCAUUGUUCACCUCCCAGAUAAUUCCAGAAAUGAGAAUGCCUUCCUUGGCCAGCAGCCUCCUGGCUCUGUGUGUCUGAACCAAUAAGGCAUGUUUCCUCUUGCUCCCCGCUUCUGAUGUUUUAUCAGGCUCCACAAUGUGUUUCUCAUGCUGUCUGCCCUGGAGUUUAUGCCCUGAACCAUGUUCAGGUGAGGAAAUUCCUCGAGAAGAUAAAUCACCGCAGAGAUAGCAAAGACCAUAUCUUGGCAGGGCUCCUGAGCUGAAUGUGGCCACAUGUGUUCCCAAGUGCAGACCUCCAAGGUCAGUCAAGCCCAAACAAGAAGCUCAAAUCGCAGAGGCCUCUGGAGUAGACGCCUUGUUGCUGAAGAAGCCUGCUGCGCACCUGAGCACUCAAUGGUUGUAUGCCCGGGACGCGUCUUCAUUAGGAAGCCUGAGAUUCACUGCUCCAUGCACGAGGGUUCUUCAGAGAAACAAAGUGGGAUUUGUGUAUUUACUUGUCUGGCUCACCUGACGAUGGAGGUGAAGUCUCACAACCAGCCAUCUGCACACUGGAGACCCAGGGAAGUUGGUGGCCCGGCUGGAAGGCAUCAGAGCUGAAGAGGUGAUGGUGUUGAUUCCAGCCCUGGUCCGAGGGCCGGAGGACCAGGAGCACUGAGAGCAGAAAACAACGUCUUGCCCCAGUGGUCAGGCAGAGCGGGCGGAUUCCUCCUUCCUCUGCCUUCUGUUCCAUUCAGACCCUCGCUGGGCAGGAGGAGACCCACCCACCCUGGGGAGGGCCAUCCGUGUGACUCUGCCCACCAACUUAAAUGUGACUCUCACCGGGAAACCCUGACUGACACCCUAUUUCCAUGUAGGGUUCUUUCUGGGGCACUGGGGGUACAGAUGUAAACAUGUUUGGGGGACACAGUCCAACCUGUAACAGGAAGGGACAGAUGUCUUAACUGGCUGCAGGAAAGCCAGCAUGAAAGUCGUAGAGGGCACAAAGUCCUGGGCCUGCACCCCGUAGGUGCUCACUCCAGACAAGCAAAUGUGGUUCAAAAUCACACUGGGCUGGAAGAGGGAGGGAUGCCCGGUUCUGAGUGUGGGUUUUGGUACCAGGCAACUGUGGGUUUGAAUCCAAGCUGUGUGACCCUGGGCCGCUUCCCCAACCUUUCUGAGACGGUUUCCCGUCCUGUGAAUCUAACCUAACCUGUAAGGUGGCAGUGAGGGCGAGAUCUGUAUUGGGUGAAAGCUUGUUGAAGGCACUGAAUUCUUAAACCAUCCUAGCCCUCAGUUUCCACACCUGUCAAAGAAGGAGGGGGAUUUUGAGGUCCAGACAGGACGCUGCAAGAGCCCAGAAGGAGACCAAUGAUGAGGAGCUCUGAACCCGGAAACCGUGACAGUCGAGGCUGCAGGGACUAAGCUGCAUGCUCUGUAUAGAGGGUGGAUGGCUGGCCCCUACCACCCCAGCCCAGCUGAGGAGCAGGUGGCCUUGCAGUGGGCUCCUUGGAUCCAUGUCACCUUUGUGGGUCACCUGGACAGCUCGGCACGGGGCCUUUGGUGUGGGAGUUCCCCAGGACAUGCAUUUUCACCUCCAGUAUACACUGGGGUUUUCUUUGCUGGUGAGAUGGUGGGAGCCCCAGGGUUUCUCUCGGCCCCAAGGAUUCUCAACCUGAUUCAGGAGAGAAGGCUAGCAUCCCUGGGGAUGCAAGAUGGCCCCAGUCCUGCCCAGGGCCUAAUUCCCUGUGGGAGACCUGAAGAGGCUCUGGAACAACAGUGCCACUUAAUUUUAGCUUGACAAUCGGCCUGUGGAGGAGAUGUCAGCACAGGACUAUUUAUAGCAAUUCCUGCCCCUGUAUGGUUAAUCUGCCUGUGUGGGUUGAACUGAAUUUUGCUUAAUGGCGAGAUGGAUUCAGACAAGCAGAUUUUUAGUCCAAACUAUGUCAAAUGGCCUUUUAGAUGACUUUCCCUCUUCAAUCAUUCAUUGCAUUGUUCAAUGAAUCUUUCUGGGGCAAUGACAGUGUGCCAGGCAGUGUCUCGGCACCGUGGAGACACGAGCAAAAGAGACAGGCCAGCCCCAUUCCCACACAGCUCACCCUCGAUGUGAGUGAAUAAUUGACCACUGGCAAAGCACCUACUGUGUGCCAGGCAGUAUUUUAGGCAGGCUUUCCUGGUAGACAACUGGGAACAGGACAGAUCAGUCCCUGUCUUUGCAAAACUCUCAGUCUAUUCAGCCAUUGAAACGAAUAAACUUUGACAUAGUACCUACUAUGUGCAGUGGUGAUGGGUGACGGUAGAGGGGCUGCAUGGCUCAGCCCUGCUCAGGCUGCUCCUGGCCUCACUCACAGUGCGAGGCGAGGGAAAGGCCACCACGUGGUGAAGCAAGAAGGAGGCUGAGGUGAGCCCAGGGACGCUGGCUCUACCGCUGGGUGUUCUGUGAUGAAGGGCAAGCCCCUAGCUUUGCUGGCCUCAGUUUCCACACCUGUAAGACAUU